rnacentral:rRNA from 1 species
UACGAAGGGGGCUAGCGUUGUUCGGAAUUACUGGGCGUAAAGCGUGCGCAGGCGGCUUCUCAAGUCAGGGGUGAAAGCCCAGAGCUUAACUCUGGAAUUGCCUUUGAGACUGAGAGGCUUGAGUACGAGAGAGGUGAGUGGAAUUCCCAGUGUAGAGGUGAAAUUCGUAGAUAUUGGGAAGAACACCGGUGGCGAAGGCGGCUCACUGGCCCGUAACUGACGCUCAUGCACGACAGCGUGGGGAUCAAACAGG